AAGGGUUAUGCGGCACUUUCAGGCUGAGAAGCCUUGAAAACACCACAGGCCCUCUCCUAUGGCUCUAACCAGUUUAUUUAAAUAGAUUAACACUCUUCUUAGGCAACCCUAAUUCCAGGCAUACCAUUAAAAAAGUUACAAGGGAAGAAUUGAAUAUGAUAACAGAAGUGGAAAUUUGAGGAAAAAAAGAACUAACUCUGAAAUGUCAGAAUAUUUCUUAUUUAUAAUCUAUAUCAAAAGAUGUUCAACAACCCUCUAAGCAGAUUUCAAUUCCAGUCUGCAUCAAAGAACAAGUUCUUCCAUGGCACCAGAAUUAAGAAAGCAGCAUUUCCUCCAGCUUGGUCCUUUAAAUGGGUCCAUACAGCACUCUAAGAUGAACUGUGAGUAUUUGCUGCCUGACUAUCCAGAAUGCUGGGAGUGAAAAGUUGCAAAUGCCUCUUCUUCAAUGGUAGCACCUAUUGUUUCUUACCUUUUCAAACUAAUUAUUUUGCUAGUAUGUUUUUCUGAAACUUCUAAUCAUCUUUUGAAUAAGACAGACAGGCAUAUCAGAAAAAAAAAAAAAACCACAAAAAAAACCCAACCAAAAAAAAUCCAACAACAACAACAACAAAAAAAAAACCACCAAAUUUAUUUUCUUAAGAGUACAAAUUGAAGAAAUUAAUGCACUGUCCUAGUAGUUAUUGGAAAUAUUAAGAUCAGUUAUCUAGACAACAGAUGUAAAAGACAGUGCCACAAAUGGAUUCCAAUAGCAAUAUAAGGAAAUGCUAGGGUUUAUCCUUUCCAAAAUGCUUUGUACUACUCAGUGGCUGAUGUUUUUUAGGGGAACCAUGAAAACAAUAACAAAUGUGAAGAGUGUUCUGAAGAAAAAAAUCUCAGAUGAUUGAGGGUAAAACAACAAAUAUCAGCAGAAUGCAUUCAUGAAUUCAAACUCUUCCAACUACAACUUUGUUACUUUUUCAGAAUUUUAAAGUUUGCUAAAUCUGUUUCAAAGGCAAAACCGAACUUUUCACCCGUGUCAGGGUAACACUCAAAUAAAUAAAAAAAAACCUGCAUUAGCCCCUGUACUUGAGGGAUCUAGCUUGGAACAGUUGACAGCCACAAAUCUAGUAGAGUCUACAACAAAAUGCCAGAAUGAAACACAUUCUAGCCAAAUCCAUAAAUCUAAAGAAUUGCUGUGUAUAACCACCAUUGCCAGUUUAUGUUUUACAAUUUUGUAAGAAAAGAAUCACUGUAAUAUGUUACCCUAGACCUAUCAUAUGUUACCCUAGACCUAUCAUGACCUCAAAGAUGACAGGCUGCUUGGACAACACCAACAACUAGAUACAGCUAGAGGAGUAAUAGAAGCAUGUCAUGCUGUAAAACUACCUAAGGUUUAUAAUUAAAAAGUAGGUACUGAUUAUCUGAAUUAAGUUCUGCAGUCAACAUUUUUGUUAGAGCUUGUAACGUACUUCUGUGUUGCCCAAGAAUUUAUUAGAGAAAAGGAGGACUUUGACAAAGAGAACAGAUCCAAAGCUACCUCCAUCCACCAUUUUUCCUUAAAUGUUCUUCUGUAAGUAUAUUUACUUUAAUGUUAGUGAAGGAAAUGAAAUUUGUAGACAUCAGUGGUUUUUUUACACAAACAUGCCUUGAUGCCUUCAGUUUGGUGAGACACUCUGGUUGUCUUCACUGACAGUUUAGUAAAAGAUACUUGACCAGGUCUCACUAUAAUUAGCUUAAGGACGAGCCUAAGCUUCCUUCAUCCUUUAUUACAGAAGAUAAUUUACUUGUAAACUGGCCAUUCAAAUAAGUUGUACAAGCUGAACAUUCCCUUGGCUCUAGGAGACAAUUCCACAUUAGUAAGAUUACUUAUGAAGGUAAUGUUUCUCCCAUAAUUCUAGAAUCCUAUUCUUAGGAUAGAAUUCAUUACCACCACAGUUAGUCCAAACCAAAUACAUGGUCCAUACAACUGCUCCUCUGAGUUUCCUGAAACAACAACAACAAAUAUACCACCUCCACCAAAACCCCCAAAUGACUCAAGAUCUUAUUUUAAGAUAUUCUUCAAGCAUUCCACUCCUCAGUAACUGGGGUUAACAGGGUAACAGGGUCUGGAGAUUUACCUAUUUUUAUGCAGCCAUUAAAAGAACAGAUUCUGAAUUUUUCAAUUCAAGUUAUUUCCAAUUAUAUCAAACUGACUAAAAGAAUGUUUUUCCAAAUAUAUUUUUAAGUAUCAAUUCUGUAUACAUUGCCAUGAAGCAGGCUAAAGCACUCGGAGAGAAAGCUAGAGAUUAGCAAACAUAAAAGCAAAGUGGCUGUUCGUAAAUAAAAAAUCAAGUCCCUGAAAGCCAAUCUUGGCACCUUAGGCAAUCCCUACAACCAUGUCAGCACAGCGUGAUGCUUACCAGACUAGUCACACCCCACUACCUCAGGUAAACUGUUAAAUAUUAAACCACAUCCAAGCCAGGCAUCCAACAACAAAAGGGGAAGAAAACCAAGCAGCAAAACUGUGGAUACUGAACCACAGAGCUUAAUAACUAAAGGUGAGUGCCACAAAAGUACUGAAAAAAUAAUUGGAAUUGGAAAAUAUAUGUAAGCAGAUAUUACUGUCACCAAUGAUGAUAUAAUAAAAGCAGCAAAAAAUGAAAUACAUUAUAAAUGCAAAAGAAGGAAAAAAUGCUGACAUAAAAAAACCCUCAAGACUGGCAUAUACUUUAUUUGAAAGCAAGAGAGAGAAAGGAAGAUUUACAAACUUAGAAAUUUAGAAACCCAUUUAAAGAAGGCUGUCUCGUUAUAGAAUCCUGCUUUAUGUCCUAAAGAUAUCCUUUACCCUGCCCUACCAUCUGAAAUUUAAAUAUCUCUUUAGAAAUCUACUUAGCUUUGUAACCAUGUAUUUAAAGUAUUGUAACUGUAACAAGGCAACUAAUAUUCCACUAUGUUUACCAUGUUCUUUCUUUUAUUAUUUAAGAAAUUUAUACUCAAUUUAAGAGCAAAUUCAGCAGCAGCAAUGCUACGGGAAAGAAAUGCAUUAUAUUGAAAGCAACAACAAAAAAACCUCUCACUACAAAAUAAUAUUUUAUCAAACAUGCUUGAAAUUUACUAUCACAUUUGACAACAUUAUUUAAGAUAUUAAUUAUAACUUUGUUUGCCUUCCGGUGUGAACUUUGCCAACACAUUAGCUUUCACAAGCAGAUAUUUAUUCACAAGACACUGUUACUACCGGUGUUGAUUUUGAUGUCACAUGAAAUGAAAUCUAUUUUAACAUUUAAAACACAUACAAAUCAAACAAAAAAAAUUCUGUAAGCCAAACAUACAUAAACCUUCCCACAUGGCUUUUUGUUGACCUCACUGUAAAAGACACACAGUUCCACAGCACAUUCUGUUCUGCUUUUCCAACAUAAAAGUACUGAGCACCUGAAAAGAUAGUGAUUUAACAAACCACAGCUUGUAUUUCCUGGAUAGAUACCAAUCUUUUAUUUUUAUUCCAUGUGUGACUUAGAACAAACCAUUUCAACUUAUACUUUCAGCCUACAGGCAUUUAUUUAUAAACAAUAUCCUAAAAUUAUUAAAUCCUUUUUACUCACCACUACUUUUCUUUCAAAGAAACAGUUCGCUAAGCUCUUAGCUAAGAUUGACUGAAGAAAGCAUUUGAAAACAUCAAACUGUAGAAUGAAAACAUGUAUAAGGAUUCUUAUUAGCUAGGUUUAUCUAGCAUGCCUUUUUUGCCCUGAAAUCAAAAACCUGAGUUAAAAAAAAUUAGGUACAAUGUAAAACUCAAGUGAAGUAAAGAAUAAUGAAAGGCAUACCAGCAUACAGAAAUGAAAAUAAAAUAUAAUAAAAAAGUAAAAAUUUAAGGAAAAUUCAUUAAUUAUUUUAAAAAGAGGGAAGGAUGUCAUUAAUCAAUGACAAUGAUGAUGACUGCUACUAUACAACACUGAGUAUUUAACUAAUCUCUAUUUUCACAAUAAAUGUACUUAUAAUACAAAUUGAAUAUUAAGAAUUGCACAAUUGGAUCCAAAGCAUAUUUGUUUGUUUAUUAGUUUUCUGGCUUCUAAUGUUACAAAACAUUCCUAAUGGAAAUUUUCAUAUAAUCUGACAAAAUGCUUGAUGCUCAGGAAGUAAUAUUACAUUCCAAAAGAUGGUUUGAGAAAAGGUAAUGGUAACUGAUUUUUGUAAUUAUCUGGUAACUUUUUUUAAUUUGGCUCCAGCCUACUGCACCUACAGAGAAUAAAAAAAAAAUCAAAUAUAAAGAACAUUCAGCCACAACAUACAGGAUUUAUGUCAUGAACAGCAGAAACUGAAUUUGAUUUCUAAGUCCUAAGAUAAAGACAUAUGACUAUAUAACAUACCAUUUCAUUGUUCUUCCAUAAUUGCCAAGUAACGGUAAAAAUAAUAUCAAACAGAUAUCAUUACCUAUCUCUUUAUAAUCUGGAAAUACAGAAACCUAAACUACGACACGUACAACAACAACACUGAACACUAAUUAUAUAAAUUUUGAGAUAUCUUUAUUUCACUUGUUUUCCUCAUUGCAGCUUCUUGUCUUGCCCACCAGGAUUUCUACUACUUGACUUUCUUGAUAUUCAUUUUAAUCACUGACUUUGAAAAGUCAGGCAGGACUUGACAGGAACAUUCUAAAAUACUAGCACAAUAGAAUAGAGGUACUUGAAACAGGUACUGACUAUGUCAUAGUAUUAGAUCAUUUAGGGCACUCUGAGUCUCACUGUGCAUUCACGUACUUUACUCAAUCAGAAAAAUUAUUUUUUCCUUGGAAAAAAUUCACUGGAAACACUUUACAGAAAUCCUACACCCCUCUUUAACUUAAAUUCUCAAAUUUGACGAGAUAAAUUUAACAACUUAUUGAUAAAAUAAAACCACAUCAUAAGUAAUGUAUCUUGCUUAUCCAGGCCUUAAUCAUUCCAUUCAACUCAGCUUAUUAGCUCAUAUGAAACAUCUCCAUUUAAAAAAAGGGAUUACUUUCUAAUACUGCCAUAAUUAUGAAGACUACAUUUAUCAUAAUUAGUAAUGCAUACAUAUGUUUUUACUUAUCCCUCAAGCAGUGCUAAAUAAGAGCAAAAGAAAUCAAAGUACAUUAAUUUUGCUAUGGAUCUGAAUGUCCCAUCAUAAUAAACUCCAGCCAAAACAACCAAAAAACCCCCAGUGCUUCAGUCAACAGAAGCAUUGAUUAUCAACCUAUUUUUUCUGACUUCACCUAUAAUAGUUACUGCAAUACAUACUUCCUUAGAUCCUUGCUCUUGAUCUUUAUCAUUGCUAUUAAUUUUAUAUCUGUAGCUAUAUGAUAAAGCAAACAUUUUUUUAAAAACAAACAUCUCUUUACAUGUACUCAAAAAUGAUCGCGCUUGCUUCUGAAAUCCCUUUUUUUUGGACACAGUCCAGUUCUUAUCAAAGUGAACAGAGGUAUAGUCAAGUUACAGGAAAAUAUUUUAGAUACCCUCAUUACAAAAAAGAUUGAUACCCUCUUCAGAUUGCUGGCUGUUAUGUACAUUGAACAUCACUCACAAAUCACCAGGCAGUAAGCCAAAUAUAGAAUGCUUCAUCAACACCCCUGAACUUGUUUCAGCAAAGAAAGGAAAUUAUCCAAUUUAUUUUAAAAUUCUGAAUAAUUUCCAAUAAAAAUGUCAUUUGCAGUUCUUUCUCUUUUAGUUUAUUCUUCUCUCUUGCUCCAACAAAAGAACUAAAAACUGAAAAUUAAGACUUUGAUAAAUACACACAAAUAAAUGUCCACAGAAAUCAGCAACUGGGGUUUGGUUUUGCCAGGUAUUCAAGCAAGGUCCCUCCUUCGUUCAUAAAACUCUUUGCUCAUCAUUGUCUUUUCCUUAAGAGACAUAAAAAAAUUUGGUUUCCUGCUACUGCUUUUAUUUUUUUUUGCCUCUGCAGAACUCCAGUGAAAACUCUGAAGGAUAAAUGAGAGGAAAUAAAUAUUAGUCUGUGUCCAGACCUAAGUUUGCAAAAUCCAUAGAAUGAAGUGUUGGACGAAAAUAACAGAAAUGUAAUACACUGAAGAAAAAAGGAACCCAAGAGUUGUGUUGUUAGGGAGAUCAUCUCCUGGGCACCCAAUCCAGGUUUUUAUAAUAUAUGUCAAGAGGACUAUGUUGUGACUCUAGCCCUAUCCCUCCACUUCUACAUGUGAGGUUUUAAAUGCAGCCCUAGGAAACUGAACUGGCCAACAAGACUAGAAGGCAAACUAGAUCAUGUCCAGGAACUUCAGCUGUAGAGCAAAAAUCCCAAGUAAAAUUAUAGUAUAGCUUGGGCUGCCAUGGAUAUCAGGAGCUGCCAAGCCCAACUUCCCUCCCAAAGCAGGUUCAGAUUUGGCAUUAGACUAGCAACCCAGGACUUUAUCCAGUCAGAGGCUGAUAAUCUCCCAAGAUGGAAAUGGCAAAACCUCACCUGGUCCAAAGUGCAUUGUUGGGCUGUCCUCAUGGGGAAAAAGGGUCUCCUUGUGUCUAAUCUAAACCUCUUGUGAUUGUCUCCUAUCCUUUCACCACACACUUCCACAGGAAGUGCACUUCCAGGGAAGGCUGCUGUUGGGAUCCCUGUAACUCUCUCUUCUCUAGACUGAACAAUUCCAUGUCUUUCAGUGCCUAUUCACAGAUGUGCACUCUAGCUCCCGACCAUCUUAGUGGCCCUUUGCUGAACUUACUCCAACCAACAUAAUUCCUACAACUGCAGAAGAGUGACAGUAAAAGCAGAAAUGCAUGUAAAUAUUGUAUAAUAAAUACAGA